rnacentral:piRNA from 1 species
UACUGUGCUGCCCAAGGGACUUCUUGC